rnacentral:rRNA from 1 species
AUUGAACGCUGGCGGCGUGCUUAACACAUGCAAGUCGAUCGGUAACAGGUGUAGCAAUACAUGCUGACGAGAGGCGGACGGGUGAGUAAUGCUUGGGAAUCUGCCUAUUAGUGGGGGACAACCCGGGGAAACUCGGGCUAAUACCGCAUACGCUCUACGGAGGAAAGCCGGGGACCGCAAGGCCUGGCGCUAAUAGAUGAGCCCAAGUCGGAUUAGCUAGUUGGUAGGGUAACGGCCUACCAAGGCGACAAUCCGUAGCUGGUCUGAGAGGACGACCAGCCACACCGGAACUGAGACACGGUCCGGACUCCUACGGGAGGCAGCAGUGGGGAAUAUUGGACAAUGGGGGCAACCCUGAUCCAGCGACGCCGCGUGGGUGAAGAAGGCCUGCGGGUUGUAAAGCCCUUUCGGUGGGGAAGAAAAGUCUCGACCUAAUACGUCGGGACCUUGACGUAACCCACUAAAGAAGCACCGGCUAACUCUGUGCCAGCCGCCGCGGUAAC